ensembl:lncRNA
CCAAAAUGGUGCAAGCAUCUCAUGAACCAGACAAAGCAGCCACUCCCAUACAUGGAAGCACAUUUCUUUCAAGGCUGGAUGAAUUUGCCGAUAUGAUUCUGCUUCCUCAUCCCAGGCAGAAGAACAUCUAUUCUUCCUUUUUCGGGGGGCUUAGUUGAAGCCUUGCGCUUCGGUUACUCUCUUACCACUGCCCAGAGUACGUGUGGUUCCUUGGAAAGCACAGAGCAACUCACGCCAAGCACUCCGCCUGUGUUUGGCAGGGCACGAUGCGCUGCGCUGAGCCUCGAGCAUGGCAGCCUCCGUGCCCAAAGAGCAGCAAUACUUAGCCCAUCCAUCUUUGCUGGUGGGAAGAUGUUCUAAAAACAGGAGAGCUGACUUCUUACGGGAGAGUUGGAUGCAAAAGAAAGACACUCAUUUCCCAGUAAAGAUUAAACCACAGUUGGGAUGCCAGAUGAACAAGGCAUUAAAAUCUACAGCCAAGAUGUAUUAGCAGACCUGCCUGACUCCAUGAGAGAGUAAAGCCAGCCUGAGGUAUGUGAAUGCUUCACUCAGACGGAAAGAUACAGCCGUGCUCCCCAGACAUUUCCCAAGAGCAGAGUCUCUGGCUGCAUCACUCCAUUCGCAUCCUGCUGUUUCCAGAGAGCAAAUUUGGCUUUCAGCAACCCCAGGAGAGAAAGCUAACUGGAAGGACAAAGUGCUGCUGGAAACUCCCUGGAAACUGCAUCUGCCAGCAGCGAUAUCUGCAUGUCAAUCUAACUCCCUCUUUUUAUUCUGGAGCAAAAAAGCUGCAUUAUUGCUCUUGCUGCUGUGAUCCCCUCUCAGGCUGCUCUGAUACAUGCCUCUCCAGUUCCCUCCUUUUGGGACAAAUCCCCUCCCAUGCCAUCUGCCUCACGCUCCAGCUUCUCCUCAGCCCUCCCAGCACACAGCCCGGGCCGAGGCCCCUCAGCACCCUGCCUGAGCCCACAGCUACAAGCACUGUGCUGGGGGAAGUUUUGGAGCUCCCCGGUACUUCUGUCUGCCCUGAGAGCCUCAGUGAUGUUUCUGAGAUCGUGAGGGACUCUGAAGGACUGUGGCCGUAUCACCGCUGUGGGCUCAGAUGUUGCCAAAACACUGAAUAGACCCUGUGGUUCCUCUCCUGCUUGCAGGCCUUCCUGGCCAGGGCAGGAGGUGAUGGGACCUGAUGUUAACUUCGUAUCAUAUCCUGCAUCUCUUCUUUGCUCCGGUAGCCUCCAAAACCAUUGGCGUGCACAGGCAGCUAAAGCCACCAAGGUGACAGGGUAGCAUCCUGACAAAACCCUUGCUGGAGGGUAGAUAGAGGAUGAUGUGACAUUUUUCCAUCUACCAUCAUAAAACUGGUGGUGGGCCAACUUGGUGUCCAGUUUACUCCCUGUGUUUGAAGUUUUUUACUAGACAGCCUCUUCCAGGUGCUCUGAUCCAGGCACUGGCUUCGGAUGCUCUUCCCUAAAUCAAGCUGCGUGCCUGACUCUCCCCAUACAUUAACGAGCAAUCUGGUGCACUCCUGCAGCCAAGGAGCAGUGCGGCAAAGGAGCAGCUUACAUCAGAGCUGCAAUGAUGAGAGCUGGAUGUGGUGGAAAGGGAGCAGGCCUCUAGGAAAGAAGGCUCAGGGCACAUCCAGCGUACCAAAUUCUGCAGACUCCCUCGAACCCUUCGCUUUUUAACCCCGACAAGGUCACACUUCUGCUGGGUGAUGUCAGACCCAGUGAUCGAACUGCCGACCUGCAGCCAUCUAAGAGCAGGGAAAUGACUCUCAAGUAGGGCACAACGCCUCUGAUGUCUAACCCUAAGGAGAAUCAUUCAUCCUCCUCUUUCCUGAGAGGUGGAAGCGUACCAGCAGCACGGAGCUGCACAACAAGGACGAAGGACAGCCUGUCCUGUCCUAUGCAAAAAAGUCCCACUCUUGAAGCGAGGCUUCAGAACGGUGUGCGCGACUUUGAUUUGCAUCCAGAGUGGAAACACGCUUGCCAGCCAUCAGGCUGAUCUGAUUUGAAGCAGCUGAGAUAUUAAAUGCACUAAACCAGAAUGUAUAAUAGCUGCGCUGGCAGACCUUUAAUUAUUGUCGUGCUUGUGGGCACCGAUAUCAUUCAAAUUAAAAGCUUUCCCCACUACUUGCAUUUUUUUAAUACGUUGAUGUAUGCUGCACUGAUGGAUUGUCCUCUGUUGUCCUUCUCUCACAAAAUGCUUGGCACAAUUUGCCCCAGCGCAGAGCUAAAAACUAUUGGCACUCGCUUGCCGUAUUUCUGGUUCUCUCCUUGCUUCGUUUUGAAACGGGGACCCCACAACUGGAAGAAAGAUUGGACAGUUUGGAGGGAUGAUGUUAAUUCCUCAGUCACCGGUCCUCCUGUUCAGUAACAGCAGGAAUGCCCCUUGUUAAUAAAAAGACCAAAGUGCUGGUGCAGUCUUCCCUUAAGGAAUGCCUUUGAUAGUGCUGGCUGAUGGUAGAGCAAAGUUUCCUUGCUGCUUGCCGCACAGAUGCUCUCAUUUCCCUCUCAGCUGGUCCACAGACAGAUAUUUGGGGCCGGUUCAGUGCAGAGCUGCAGCAGCAGAAAGCUCAGGCAGCUCCUCUGAAGCCACAGCAGCAUCUCUCAGUGCACGGCUGUCAGUGCCAGAACUUGGCUCCCUGUCGAGUGCUGUGAUGAAGCUGCUCAUUGUCAUUCUGGAACAAGUGGAACUGUUAGAAGCAGAACGAACACAGUACCGG